GCAACGCGAAGAACCUUACCUGGGCUUGACAUCCCGAGAAUCCCCUGGAAACAGGGGAGUGCCUUUCGGGGAACUCGGAGACAGGUGCUGCAUGGCUGUCGUCAGCUCGUGUCGUGAGAUGUUGGGUUAAAGUCCCGCAACGAGCGCAACCCUUGUCUUAAUUGCCAGCAUUCAGUUGGGCACUUUAAAGAGACUGCCGGUGUUAAGCCGGAGGAAGGUGGGGAUGACGUCAAGUCCUCAUGGCCUUUAUGCCCAGGGCUACACACGUGCUACAAUGGGUGGUACAAAGAGAUGCCAACUCGCGAGAGCGCGCCAAUCUCAGAAAGCCAUCCUCAGUUCGGAUUGGAGUCUGCAACUCGACUCCAUGAAGUUGGAAUCGCUAGUAAUCGCGGAUCAGCACGCCGCGGUCGAAUACGUUCCCGGGCCUU
rnacentral:rRNA from 1 species